rnacentral:pre_miRNA from 1 species
GUAGUAUUCCCUCCGUCCCAAAAUUCUUGUCUUACAUUUGUUUAGAUACAUAUGUAUCUAACACUAAAAUGUAACUAGAUACAUCCGUAUUUAGACAAAUUUAAGACAAGAAUUUUGGGACGGAGGGAGUACAAA